rnacentral:rRNA from 1 species
UACGUAGGGGGCAAGCGUUGUCCGGAUUUACUGGGCGUAAAGAGCGUGUAGGCGGCUAAGCAGGUCCGUUGUGAAAACUGGAGGCUUAACCUCCAGACGUCGACGGAAACCGCGUGGCUAGAGUCCGGAAGAGGAGAGUGGAAUUCCUGGUGUAGCGGUGAAAUGCGCAGAUAUCAGGAAGAACACCAAUGGCGAAGGCAGCUCUCUGGGACGGUACUGACGCUGAGACGCGAAAGCGUGGGGAGCGAACAGG